AAACAGCGACGCUUUUGCUCCGCUCAGCGUGUGCCCUAUUAUUAUUUAUAAAGAGAGAAAAUAUUGACAUUUUUAAGGUGGCACGGCGGCUCAGUGGUUAGCAUUGUUGCCUCAUAGCAAAAAGGUUGCUGGUUUGAGUCCUGGCUGGUUCAGUUGGCAUUUUCGUGUGGAGUUUGCAUGUUCUCCUCCGAGGGCUGCGGUUUCCCUCACAGUCCAAAGACAUGCGCUAUAGGCACACACUAGGCUUGUCCAGAAGUACAGAUGGGAAAAAGCUGGCAUAGUAUUCAGUCGUAAGGAGCCGCCUAUCUGUUGCUGUGGUGACUGUACUGUGAUUUUUAUCUUCAGUAUGAGAAGAUGUAAUGUCUCUGCUCUGAUAGACCCUGGAUUAUCUCACUCGUCCCGUAAAUCUUCAGUCUUCAGGCCUCCAGGGAGGAAUUCCCCUAUUUUUGAGCUGCUACAAAACAAAUGAUGCAUGGAUUGAGGAAUCAGCUCUGCUGGAUCUUGCUCAUACACCUCCAGAGUUCACACCGACGAGAGGUCAGAGACGUUAUUUACUGUACAUAAUCAGACCAGUGCU
ensembl:processed_transcript